CAAACUUGAGAGUUUGAUCCUGGCUCAGAACGAACGCUGGCGGCAUGCCUAACACAUGCAAGUCGAACGAGACCUUCGGGUCUAGUGGCGCACGGGUGCGUAACGCGUGGGAAUCUGCCCUUGGGUUCGGAAUAACUUCGGGAAACUGAAGCUAAUACCGGAUGAUGUCGUAAGACCAAAGAUUUAUCGCCUGAGGAUGAGCCCGCGUGAGAUUAGGUAGUUGGUGGGGUAAAGGCCUACCAAGCCGACGAUCUCUAGCUGGUCUGAGAGGAUGAUCAGCCACACUGGGACUGAGACACGGCCCAGACUCCUACGGGAGGCAGCAGUGGGGAAUAUUGGACAAUGGGCGAAAGCCUGAUCCAGCAAUGCCGCGUGAGUGAUGAAGGCCUUAGGGUUGUAAAGCUCUUUUACCCGGGAUGAUAAUGACAGUACCGGGAGAAUAAGCCCCGGCUAACUCCGUGCCAGCAGCC
rnacentral:rRNA from 1 species